GCCUGGCUGGCUCACUGGUAGAGCAUGCGACUCUUGAUCUCAGGGUCGUGAGUUUGAGCCCCACGUGGGGUG
rnacentral:tRNA from 1 species